CACGUAGGGGGCGAGCGUUGUCCGGAUUUAUUGGGCGUAAAGAGCUCGUAGGCGGUUGAGUAAGUCGGGUGUGAAACUCUGGGCUUAACCCAGAGCCGCCACUCGAUACUGCUCUGACUUGAGUUCGGUAGGGGAGCAGGGAAUUCCUAGUGUAGCGGUGAAAUGCGCAGAUAUUAGGAGGAACACCGGUGGCGAAGGCGCUGCUCUGGGCCGAAACUGACGCUGAGGAGCGAAAGCGUGGGUAGCAAACAGG
rnacentral:rRNA from 1 species